AUUGAACGCUGGCGGCAGGCCUAACACAUGCAAGUCGAGCGGAUGAAGGGUGCUUGCUCCUGGAUUCAGCGGCGGACGGGUGAGUAAUGCCUAGGAAUCUGCCUGGUAGUGGGGGAUAACGUCCGGAAACGGGCGCUAAUACUGCAUACGACCUGAGGGUGAAAGUGGGGGAUCUUCGGACCUCACGCUAUCAGAUGAGCCUAGGUCGGAUUUGCUAGUUGGUGGGUUAAAGGCCUACCAAGGCGACGAUCCGUAACUGGUCUGAGAGGAUGAUCAGUCACACUGGAACUGAGACACGGUCCAGACUCCUACGGGAGGUAGCAGUGGGGAAUAUUAGACAAUGGGCGAAAGCCUGAUCCAGCCAUGCCGCGUGUGUGAAGAAGGUCUUCGGAUUGUAAAGCACUUUAAGUUGGGAGGAAGGGCAGUAAGUUAAUACCUUGCUGUUUUGACGUUACCAACAGAAUAAGCACCGGCUAACUUCGUG
rnacentral:rRNA from 1 species